GUCGUAUGUACCGGGUACGGUGGGACC
rnacentral:sRNA from 1 species